UUCUUUGCUGUUUGUGUUCAUUGAUGGCAUUUGGCAGUGAUGUGUUAAAUGUUAUCUUGCGUGCACCACUUGUGUUUUGCAGUACACAGGGAGACAUGCGCUCCAACGCUCGAGGUGGUGUUGUGCACCAUUCAUAUCCUGCAAGAGUAGUGGCACUGUCAUUUCCUCACACGGCGCAUCGCAUGAUGUGUGAGCUUUCCAGAGGGAAUUGUUGCAAAUCCUCCCAUGCACCUGCCAUGUACAUUGCCUCUCCUCCUCAAGAUGGCAGCAGCAGCAGUGGAGCAGUUGAAGAGGCGAAGAAAGGUGGACAUUAUAAUAGGUUGUAUGUAAAUAAAACUUAUCGAACACAA